GCUUUCCUGUGCUCGAACCCGCCACUGCCUACACACACAGGCACGGGAGUGCCUCUUUCGUUCCCGGGCCUGCGGUUGGCGAAGGCGUGCAAAGCCCGCUUGGAUCCCUGCAGGGAGAAUGAAUCGCAGGUUCUGAGGGCAAAGUUAUAUCCCAGGAUAUCAGAGAUGUUUAUCAAGAUUUAGAAGAAAGCAAAAAUCCAGAAAUUUACAACUGCUAACUCAGUUCAGAGGUGGAAAGUGUCUUUUGAGGUAGAGCACUUUAGCCUCCUGCCAGAGGAGUUGGCCUGAAGAGUGUUAAGACAGGGUCUUCUUUUUCCUACCACCACCACUUUCGCAAGACUGGCAACCAUGGGGGAAAAGUCACACACUUGCCCUUACUGUGGGAAAGGUUUCCGGCGAAACUCACACCUUACUCGCCAUUUAGCUACCCACUCUGGACUGCAGCGCCCUUUAGGUGGGAAACGCCUGGGACAGCAAGUGCCAGAGGAAGACCGUCCCUUCAGCUGCAGCUACUGUGGGAAGACUUUUGCCCGCAGUGCCCACCUGGCCCGGCAUCAGGAAACCCAUUCUGGGGAACGACCCUACAAGUGUACCUACUGUGGCAAAGCCUUUGGCCGCAAUUCCCACUUGACCCGCCACCACAGCACUCACACUGGAGAGCGCCCCUAUGAAUGUGGUGUCUGCGGUAAAGCUUUCACCCGUAGUGCUCAUGUCACUCGCCACCAAGGAACUCACACCGGAGAACGUCCUUUCCGCUGCACACGUUGUGGCAAAUGCUUCACCCGUAGUGCCCAUCUCCAGCGCCAUCAGGGCAUCCACAGUGGGGACAAGCCCUUCUCGUGCAGAGACUGUGGAAAGGGGUUCACCCGUUAUGCACACCUUGAGCGUCACCGUGCUACACAUUCAGGAGAGAAACCCUUCAAAUGCGCCAGCUGUGGUAAAGGGUUUGGGGCUGCCUCUCACCUUGUAAGACACCAGAAAACUCAUAAAGUUUAAUGGCUGGGUUUUGUGCCUGCUGCAAUCCAAACAAGUAUGAGAAUUGGCCAGUAUGAAGUACUUGGACUUACCCUUUAACUUUAUAUCUCUUUUCUCCAUUCUAAAAUCUACUUUUAGAAGGAAAUGAGUUCAACACACUCAACAAUAUUUACACCUAGUCUGCAGACAAAUUGAGAACUGCAUAGAAGAAUCCAAACCUCUAUCUGUCAAAAUGUGAUUGUGUCCACUUUAUGUUUUAGAACCUUAUCAUUAGCAGGGCAAGUUUGUCACAACUGUCUCAAUUCCCAUGGCUUUCGGUAGCCCUAAAAUCCCCUUCCCAAUCAGAUAUUCUUCAAAUAGUGUUGGCUCAUACUCAUGUAAUCCACCAGCUUGCAACGAUUAUAUAGGCUGGAAGACUCAGCACACCUGGAGAGUAUUUACUGAGAAUAGCUGAAUUGGAAGAACUUUUUAAAAGAUCAGUUACUAUCAUUAUUCCAUUAAAUCCUUUUCCUGAUAAUGCUUACCCAUCUUCCAUAUUAUGGAUGCAGAUUUCUGCUAUUAAAAAAACUAGUUAUUAAUACUUUAGUCAGCAUAUUGAUGGCACAGAAAAGAUUUAACAACAAUUUCAUUACUACCAGUUAUGUGAGGCAGUCAAGUGAGAUAUUAUGCCACUACAAUUUGUGAUUUUGGUGCCAGCUUCUCCAUUGACUCUGUUUAUCAGAAGCUCCCUGUGAAGUGUGCAAACGGCGAUCACAUGACAGCAGAUUGCGACGUUGUAAAUGCCAAUUGGUAACAAAGCACCUGGAUCUCAAUCAUGUGACCACGGGGACAUUGCAAUGGCUAUAAGUGCAAGGACUGGUCAUAAUGCUACUUUUUCAUGCCAUCAUAUAGCUAAACAGAAGACAUUAAGUGAGAUCGGUCUGUGCUGUCAUGCUAUUCCUGAGCAUAAAUGAAAAUGCACCUAUAAGGAAGAAAACCAGUGCCAUGCUCAUCUCUUUGAAGUCAGAAAAAAGCCAAGUUGGAGAGUAAAAGAGCGCCAAUGGGAAAAAUGACUUUAUAAAAAGAAGCAGCCUGUUCAUUCCCUAGUCUGCCCUAAAAGAUAGACUAUCUGUCUUGGAAAAAAAAAUGUGAUGAAUUUUUGUUAUACAAUCAAGUUGUCUAAUACCGAAAGGAGAAAGAGAUAGGGAUGUUUGAACUUGCCUGUUAUUGUGGAGAUGUUUGAAAAAAAGAAGACAUGAAGACUAUUGAUCUGAUGUUUUACUAAUCUGUUUUCUUUAAACAUUUUUCAUGUGUAUACUGUGUUUUUCCCGUUCAUAGUAUAAAUGCCAUAUUUUAGAGAAAACAAAAUAGUAUUUCAAAUAAGGGGUACAGUCUAGAGGAAACAAUCAGCCAAGGACCAACUGAUGUCAAUGGAAAUUAAAAACACAGAUAAGGAUGUUACAGGGGAGAUAUAAAAGAAAGGAGUGGGCUGAGUUGGUCAUUUGGUGAUUUCCCGCCUCCCCAAGAUAAAAAUAGAAAAUGAUUGAGGAAUGUGAGUAGCAAAAGGUUAUAAAAUAUUUUCUCUUUUGAAAUGAAAGAAAUAGAUGAUUUAUUUAGAGUGUAGUAUGAAUAUUUUUAUGUAAAAGAAUACACAAAAUUAGAACUUGAUUAUUCCUAUGUAUAUAAUAGACCAGGAUAAGCAGCCUGAUACUUUCAGAUAUUAUUGGCAGAGGUUGAUAGGAAUUGAUAGUUAAAACAUCUGGAAAGUUCUUGUUACCCAAAUGCAUUUCUGUACUUCGAAUGCUGUCAUCUUUUUGAUAGAAGUCAAGCCUUUUUAGUUAGGAAUUGUGAAUUGUUUGCUGAUAUGCAGGGUUUCGGUUUGCAAAUAAUCAGAAACAAAUAUUCUGUAAUUGUUGAUCUUUCGCAUUGAUUCUUCUGCAUGUGAGUUAGGUAUUUUGUACAAAAAUAAGAAAAGGUUUCAAGACUUUUAAUGUGAACUCUUGGGAUCCAGUAACUUCAUGGAAUUAGGCUUCUUGUCUCUGAAUACAUAACCUUAAAGUUUCUCAGUAACUUUCUUAAGCCAAGCAAUACAAUUUUCAGUUAUAAAUGAUGUUUUGUGUGGGUAUGUGUGUGUGUGUGUGUUAAAAAAAUACAUGCAUGGAUUUCAGGUUUUCCCAAGAUUUCCAAUUUUUAUCUUGAAAGAAACAACUUUUUUUCCCUUCAAUUCUUCCAAACUUUUGGCAAUAUUACAAAACACUGGUACAUAUGUCAUUCUACACAAUAUUUAUAUUUACAUAGCAUACCAAGAUUAGGUAUUGGAUUAUAAUCAAUUUUCUGGAUAUAUGUAAUAUGCCAUACUAUGAAAUAGCCCAAUAAGGCUGGGCUUAUCCAAUACAUUAAUUUAAAAAAAAAAAAAAACAUUCAAUGAUUUGGUAUAGCAGAUUGCAUUUAGUCUCAGGUUUAUCUAAUCAGUGACUGAUCAUAAGAUAAAUUAUAAACCAAAUGUGACAUUCUAAAAAGCUCUUUAUAGAUUUUUUUAAUAAUGUAUGACAGUGUUGUAAGACUCAUUUUUAGGGUUACAUGUUUUUCCCCUUCUAUAAUUUUAAACAAGUGAGGUGAGUUUAUGCUGCCUUCUAGCAAGAUCUAAAAAAAGCAAAGAUUAAUUCCCACCAGAUGGCCAUCUGUAUUGUAUCUGUAUCUCUGUAUAAUGGAGAUGUGUUCUUCCCACUAUCCUCAUUAUUUCAAUUCUGUGCAGUAGCUCCAGUUAGUUAUAGUUCGUGAUAACGAUUCCCAACUAGAAUAGCCAACUACCGGUAUAUAUUGCCAGACAAAAUAAUGCAUCAUCAAAAGAAAGACAUGGACAUAAAUGAUUAAAAUCCAAUACUGUAGGAAUACAAUGGAUUUUCAGUGAAAUGAGAGAUGAUGGGAAAAGCUGAUAUGCUUCAUUCAUUGCACUAAAUCACAUAUAAACACUUCAGAGUGAGAUGGACAACAUAUAAACUUAGUAAAUUUUAAAAAAUGUAUCAAGCUUUUCACCCAACAGUUCCUCAAGCUUGAAAGCUGGCAGCAGAGAUUCAAGGAGAUGGAUGUUUGAUAAAACGUUUUAUUACAGACUCUAAAAAGGCAAUAAUGGAAUAAUCAGUAACUGCCAGCUGCAUAGUACAAGUCAUGUGUAUUCCCAAAGUCCAAACCCUACAUCCACUCUGAGGGUAGGUUUCAUAUCAACGGAAGGGAUGGAAUGAGUCUCUUCAUUGAUGUUCAUCCACUGACUUUAUGUUCCUGUCUGAUGUUGGGGUCUUGACCUCUGAUUUUGAUGAUUCUGGCCCUCACAAUUUGCUUAGUUUUAGCUUAGUAUAUUCAAUCAAAUUUAACUUGCAGAUUCUGGUUUUUGUAGCUUGAUAUAUCAUGUAAAGCUCUAAUUGUGAUCUGUUCAAUAAAAUGUGGCUAAGCAUA